CAAACCAAGAACCACCCCCGCCACC
rnacentral:rasiRNA from 1 species